AAUGAACGCUGGCGGCAGGCCUAACACAUGCAAGUCGAGCGGAUGAAGGGAGCUUGCUCCUGGAUUCAGCGGAGGACGGGUGAGUCAUGCCUAGGAAUCUGCCCGGUAUUGGGGGAUAACGUCCGGAAACGGGCGCUAAUAUCGCAAACGUCCUGAGGGAGAAAGUGGGGGUUCAUCGGACAUCACGCCAUCAGAUGAGCCUAGGUCGGAUUAGCUAGGUGGUGGGGUAAAGGCCUACCAAGGCGACGAUCCGUAACUGGUCUGAGAGGAUGAUCAGUCACACUGGAACUGAGACACGGUCCAGACUCCUACGGGAGGCAGCAGUGGGGAAUAUUGGACGAUGGACGAAUGCCUGAUCCAGCCAAGCCGCGUGAGUGAAGAAGGUCUUCGGAUUGUAAAGCUCUUUAAGUUGGGGGGAAGGGCAGUAAGUUAAUACCUUGCUGUUUUGACGUUACCAGCAGAAUAAGCACCGGCUAACUUCGUG
rnacentral:rRNA from 1 species